rnacentral:tRNA from 1 species
AUUUAUAUAGUUUAAAACUAAAACUUUUCAUUUUCAAUGAAAGAAUAAGAAAUUUUUCUUUAUAAAUA